rnacentral:rRNA from 1 species
UACGGAGGGUGCAAACGUUGCUCGGAAUCAUUGGGCGUAAAGCGCACGUAGGCGGUUCGCUAUGUCGGAUGUGAAAGCCCUCGGCUUAGCCGAGGAAGGGCAUCCGAAACUGGCGAGCUUGAGUACGGAAGAGGGUCUCGGAAUUCCCGGUGUAGAGGUGAAAUUCGUAGAUAUCGGGAGGAACACCAGUGGCGAAGGCGGAGACCUGGGCCGAUACUGACGCUGAGGUGCGAAAGCGUGGGGAGCAAACAGG